GAAGACUAUAGGCCCAAGUCCUUGGAAGAGAUUGGGAAGCUGCUUAGGGUUAGCAAAGAAGGGAUCCGGAAGAUAGAACGGAGAGCGAUGGCUAAAAUCAGAGACCAACCCAAAGCUGAUAACCUCAGAUAUUAUUUGAACCAGUGAGAAGGAUUAGAUUUUUGGAACCAAUGGCUUUGUGAUUUGUAAUAACAUUCUCAUCGAGUGUAAAGCUGUGUAUAUUUUAUAAUCAUAAAAGGUAGAGAUUUUACCCAAAGUGAAAAUAUAUCAAACAUUUACAAAUCUUGGAUUUUAUCCUGUAAAAGACAUUGAUUCCAAACUGAAUGUUACAUCUGAAUUGAAGGCAUAAAGCACUUGCACAAGCUUCAUGUCCUCCUCAUGGUCUAGAAAUGUGUAAAUGUGUAUAUCAGAAUACUAGUGAAACUAGGUUAAGAUCCGCGCCUUGCGCGGGAUAAACAUUAUAUAUAUAAAUUAUUUUAUAUAUUAUAUGUUUCUAACCUAUUAUGAAACAAUAAAUAUAUAUUGAAUAAUUAAAAAGUCAGUAACUAUUACCUAUAUAAUUAAGUUGGUGCGAACAUAUAAAUAAAUUUUAUUAAUCCCGUCUAUGUAGAGCUCAAAGAUCCAAAGGUCUGUUGUACUUCCCUGCAAAAACAUUUUUUUUUCCUUUCUUGUGAUUCUCAGUACUCGUUGCCAUGUCUUCAGGAAAAUAUUGGCGUGGGUUUAGUUGGAGAACGAAUGUCUUCUUCUUCUUCAGAGAAAGCCAAUUUAUCUCGUAGCAUGUUGCAGUACAAUCUACUAGGGAAGAACCUUUUAGCACUAGAGCAAACUUUUGUCGCCUUGGAGUCUUUAAGAAUGGAAAGAGAUAUUAUGCUGCAAAUGAGGAAGUUGGGGGCUGCUGAGUUAUUCAACACCUGUCUAUCUAGGUCCCGAGCUUCGUCAACCGCUUCUUGCUUACCUGACACAGGAACACCUGAGUUGGUGGAUACUACAGAAGAACAGAAAACCUUUGUGCAUUCAACAAGGAAACUGAGAAAGAAAGCAAGACGGUCGAGUUUGAUGACUGGGAGUGAUGAUCUGGGUUCAAGAACCAUAUGGGAGGGUGUUGAUGUCCCUAGAGUGAGAAAACCAUCAAAAUAUAGAAAGAAAAGAGAGAGGAUAUCUAGAAACGAGGCUGAGAUGCCACAAGGAGUCAAGGUUCAGUGUGAAAUAUUCCUCUUAACUGUUUUUUUUUAUAAUCCUUUGUAGUUUAACAAGAAGUUCUUAUGACACUCUCAUGUGGCUAUUGAAGUUAGUGGCGGACAUGGAGAGGAUUAGAACGAAACUGGAAGAGGAAAGUGGUAAGGUAGCGAGUAUGAUUUGUUGGGCUGAAGCAGCAGGGAUGAACGAGAAACUUCUCAUGCGCAAUCUACAUUUCGGUUGGUACUGUCGAGAUGAACUGGUGAAAAGCACCCGGUCUUUGGUUCUUUUCCUCGCAAGAAACUAUCGUGGUCUCGGGAUCGCCCACGAAGAUUUGAUUCAGGUUCAUCUUCUCUCCUUUAGAACUGUAUGAGAGUCAAACCUUUGCACAUGAAACUUUGUGUUUACAGUUCCUUUGUUUCUAAUGUUCUUGAAUGUGGGUUUCAGGCAGGGUAUGUGGGAGUGUUGCAAGGAGCAGAGAGGUUUGAUCACACAAGGGGUUACAAGUUUUCGACGUAUGUGCAGUAUUGGAUAAGAAAAUCGAUGUCCACGAUGGUGUCACGGCAUGCAAGAGGCGUCCACAUUCCUGUUUGUGCAUUCUUGAUUAUUAAUUUUAUUUUUCAUUUCUAGAAAAGCCAAAGAACCUCACUUGUAUUCAUUCUGUGAUCGAUGUUGUUUAUUUUGGCAGGCGUCAAUAAUCCGAACAAUGAGUCAGAUACAAAAGGCUCGCAAGACCUUGAAAACGAGCCAGGGGAUAAAGUAUCCAGCUGAUGAGGAGAUUUCGAAACUAACAGGGUACUCGUUAAAGAAGAUUAGAGCAGCUAACCAAUGCCUGAAAGUGGUUGGUUCAAUCGACAAGAAAGUUGGGGAUUGCUUUACCACAAAGUUCCUGGUAUGUCCUUUUGAACCAACAUCCUCUCUCAUAAACUGUUAUAAAAAAUAUUUGGUUUUGUGUAGAUUUAAGCUAUUUUUGCAUGGUUUUGGUUUUGUGAGUCAAUGUUUGUUUGCUGUGUGUGUGUAUGCAGGAGUUUACACCAGACACGACGAUGGAGAGUCCAGAGGAGGCUGUGAUGAGGCAGAGCGCAAGGAGAGAGGUACAUAAUCUAAUAGAAGGGCUAGAGGCUAGAGAGAAGCAAGUGAUGGUUCUACGUUAUGGUCUUGAAGACUAUAGGCCCAAGUCCUUGGAAGAGAUUGGGAAGCUGCUUAGGGUUAGCAAAGAAGGGAUCCGGAAGAUAGAACGGAGAGCGAUGGCUAAAAUCAGAGACCAACCCAAAGCUGAUAACCUCAGAUAUUAUUUGAACCAGUGAGAAGGAUUAGAUUUUUGGAACCAAUGGCUUUGUGAUUUGUAAUAACAUUCUCAUCGAGUGUAAAGCUGUGUAUAUUUUAUAAUCAUAAAAGGUAGAG
rnacentral:lncRNA from 1 species